UAGUUUCAUUGUCAGUCUGUCGGUAACGACGUCGUAUGGGCCGCGUAUAGUGCGCCUUACGCGUUUCAGCAAGAAGCUAUUUGUUUACCUUUAAAGGAAACUAAGGAAAUCUGAACUAUACACAAAUAAUUGUGCCUUCAAAAAUGCUUUAAUGAAAUUUCACAAUUAACAUAAAUAAGAUAACCCACCUGUACAUUUUUGUUUAGGAUUACUUUUUUAAUUACUAAAAUUAAUUUCAUGACACCCUCGAUUCCGAAUUGAUUUCCGUUAUUGAAUUUAAACUAAUUAAGUAUAUGUUUUCGUUUGAAUUUAAUCAAAAUUAUUAUUUAAAAAGAUUUUAAUUAAGAUAAAAAUAAGGUUAUUCAUAAGUCUAACGAACAGUACUUAAUAAAUUUAAGGGUUAUAAAGCGCCUACACACUAAGCUCGCCGGCUCUUGAACUAGCUCACUGUACCUGCUACUCUACAUCAAACACUACGCUCAAGACUGGAACCUAGUCAUGAGGUUUGAAGGAUUAAGUUUGUCCUUUUCUUAUUACAUAGGUAAGAAAAAGAUGCGAAUACUCUGAAAUUUAGUUGCGAUCAGAAUCAGUAGGUACCAUUACCGGCUGGGCUACUGAUAGCCGCACAGAAAUCGUUCGGGUAUUAUUUAUUGUUUCUAAAUAAGGCUUCAAAAUAGAGCUAUGUCGCUGGGCCGGCUAGUGUGAUGUGUAGAAAGUCUUAGGUGGUAUCAGACGGUUCAUUCGAGUGAAUGUUCACUCUAGUGAUUGUUUCAUUUUGUUUUCAUUCCACGUUCACACGACACGACAAAAUGACAGAAAUGAACGUUCAUUCGCUUUUUUGUCGAAUAUUAUAGUCGUCAAAUGAAAUUGCGUGCCUCGUGAUUUGUUAUCAUUUGAUCUAACUAAGAAUUGACGCAAAAAGAAACUCCAAAAACAGAAGUAUAUUGUUUUGCUUGUAUCAUUUGGCCACCAUUUUGUCACAUACAUAGAACAAUCUGGGUUAACUCGGCCCAUUUCAUGCCUCCAUCAGGUGUGAAUUUAAAAAAAAUCCGACGUGGUGUUUUUCCGCUACAGGACGCGAGAAAAAAUGGACAAACUCGAAUGAACGUUCUGUGUUCGUGUGACGUUUCAUUUUUUAUUCAUUCGCAUCCCGAGUGAAAGAUGCGAAUGCCAAAAUCGAACAUCGUUGGAUCGGUUCAGUAAUAAAUGCAUCCAUAAUUCAUUCUGUGUUCAAACGUUUCGAGUGAAGGAUGCCGAGUGAAAGACAAAAAUGAAC